GGCCGAGAGAGAGAAGGGAGAGGGUUUUCCCUUUUUCUUUUCUUUUGUUUUCUUUUUGUUUCUUUUUAUUCCAAAGCUAUUUUCACAUCAUUUCAAAACAUUUUGAAUCAUUUUAAAAUUUUGAGUUCAAAUACACUCAUCACAAUAAAUAAAAUGCAAAGGCAUGCAUGCUCAAGCAUAUUUUCUACGUCCUAUGAUGAAUUUUAAUUUAAUGAAAAAUAUUAUCUCGCUAUAUUUCAUGAACAUAAAAAUACAAAAUUAAAUCAUUUUCACUUAUUUCAAAAAGAAAUAAAUUUUAGGGUGUUACAGUUCACUUGCUCAUGAACAAACUCAUAUAGAUACCACU
rnacentral:lncRNA from 1 species